rnacentral:rRNA from 1 species
AUUGAACGCUGGCGGCAGGCCUAACACAUGCCAGUCGAACGGUAACAGGGAUCAGCUUGCUGAUUCGCUGACGAGUGGCGGACGGGUGAGUAAUGUCUGGGAAACUGCCUGAUGGAGGGGGAUAACUACUGGAAACGGUAGCUAAUACCGCAUAACGUCGCAAGACCAAAGAGGGGGACCUUCGGGCCUCUUGCCAUCGGAUGUGCCCAGAUGGGAUUAGCUAGUAGGUGGGGUAACGGCUCACCUAGGCGACGAUCCCUAGCUGGUCUGAGAGGAUGACGGCCCAAACUGGAACUGAGCCACGGUCCGGGCUCCCAGGGGGGGGCGAGGUGGGGAAUAUGACGAAGUGGGCGGAAGCGUAAUGCAGCCUGGGCGGGGGUAUGAAGAAGGCCUUCGGUUUUUAAAUUCCUUUCCGCGGGGGGGAAGGGAAUAAGGUUAAAACCUUGGCCCAUGGACGUUACCCGCAAAAGAAGCCCCGGCUAACCCCGU